rnacentral:lncRNA from 1 species
AGAUUCCUAACAAAAGGAACUGCGAUCCAUGCAUAGGGGAUUGAAACCCCAAAGUUUAGAAAUCGAGAUCCCUUGAAGAUCCUUUUCUGGGAGUUCCAAAGCAAGUUUCUGAAGCAGAAUUGCCACCUAUGUUGAAUCAAUAAAUAACACAAAGGAUGGAAAGAAUUAGGGCAGUAUGGGCUAUGCUUGUAUUUAUUUAUUUAUUUAUUUGUGUCAAUUUUUCUUUAGGAACUUGGGGUGGUGGGAUGUUCCUUAAUUGUGUGGAUUGCAGAUAUAGAAUCAAGAUUAUUCCAAUGGGAAGUUACCCACGGAUAACGGACAGCAACAACAAUACAUUUGACCUGUAAGUAAUGGUUGCUGAUCUUUGCAAUGGUCACUUGGCUUUAAAUGUCAUAAUUACUUGGGAUUCAAAAUCCAUCAUAUAAUACCUGAUCAUGUGCCCUUUGCAACUUGUAUUUGCCUUUGGAAGAAUUUAAUCAUUGAUUGACUUAAUUUUUAAUUCAAGUUUCCCUCACACAAAUAGUUUUAUUUUCGCUUACAUCAAUGCUGCCUAAGUGAAUUCACAUGGAGCUUGUCAACUAUUAUUAUUUUCUUCUACUCUUCAAGUCACAUAGCCACCGUGAAUCCUAUAUGAUUGAUAAACUGAUUUCCUUUUAAGUUUCCAUCUUAUUACUGCUUCUCACCAACAGCUGAAACCUGAUUAGCAACUAUUGUCUCCCUGCUCAAUGCCCAUGGCCCCCAUUGUUUCUCACAAUGGUUUUACAGUCGGGAUAAUACAAGCUGCCUUCCUUUUGAUUUGUUCCUGGUAUUGGCAAAAUAUUAGAAAAUCUUUGUAUACCUGACUGGAUAAUGAUAACAAGUUGUUCUAUUAGUUGAAAUUCCAAAAUAAGCGGUUGUUGUUCUUUUUUGCAGUCUAUUUUCAUUUUGCUCGGUGUAUCUAAUGAAGAUUGAUGACUUUAUGCAAUAUUUUAAAAUGUGGGAUGUGGCUCGAUGCGUCGAGGAGGCCGAUGCGGUUGCAUCUCCCUGAUGUAGUCAAUAAAUAUAAGAAAAUUCUAAAAAAUCUAAAAAUAAAGGUUAAUGCAUAAAAAAAAUAUGGAGGUGAUUUAUGUGAUAUUAGAUAUUUAUUUUAUUCAUUAACUCCAAAAAUAUCAGCUGUCACGGAUUCGGUACCCGCUAUCCCUUGAUAGAUCAUAGAAGACAUUAGAAAGUAGAAAUUAAAAACUUGAAGCUAGUUUCAUACAUCAUUCAACAACCGUAAUCACAAAUUUGCAACCACAAACUAUAAAGUUACAAAAUACAAACUAAAAGUCCAUGAAGAUUAAAGAGUUCCAAAGUAUCACACCCAAAAAAAACAAAUAUCGAUUUCUUCUUGGUCUUUUAAACCCUCGAUUUGUUGUUAACUUUGCUAAAACUUCCGCAAAUGAACACCCAAAAGAAACAAAUCCACAACCAAAGAUCAACCAAUACGAAAAUCUAAGAAUUUCAAAAAAAUAAAUUCCGCUACGCCUUUUUUUUUUGAUCGAUUUGAUGAAGUAAACAGCCACAGAAUAACCCCCUAAACCCUUUUCCCCCUUUUUCGGGGCUUAAAAAGUAAAAAUAUGCACUCUCAAGUGACUUUUUUUUUCACAUCACUCACUGGUCACAUAUGCGGGCUAUGCGGGAUGCGGUGCCUAUGCGGGUGCAUCCCUCGAAAGUGCAUAUGUGGCCUCAUGCGAUGCGGUUCCCAGCGCAUAAUGCAAUAUGCGGCCACAUUUUAAAACCAUGCUUUUAUGUGAAUUUACCUAGAAUGAAUCAAAAUUAUUCUUCUGUUCAUUUGCUUUUACGUUCCUGGCAAUACCCAACAUCCUGCUGAUAAAAUAGUUGACUCCCAAAGAGCAAACUAAAUGGAAAAACUAGUGUUUACUUGUUACAUUCUCAAAAUGAGGAGGAAAUCAUAAAGUUAUUCUUACUUGGGGAUCCCAUCUGUCCAUUAAGAGUUCAUUUUGACGCCUUCCUUUGAGAAUGAAAUUGGAUUACAUCUAUUGACUGCACAUUCUGACCUUGCCGGUCGACACCCCCUGCCUAUAGUAAAAGCGUGGCCUCCAACUUUUUUAGUGCACAAUAGGUGCUGAGCGUAUCGGUAUGGACUCAUGGGGUUUUCAGCCUCCUUCAGUUGAUGGAAAACACACUUUGCUAUGCUGUUAUCAUCAUUUCCCCUUGCGGGUCUUCUUUCAUCUUUUAGAUAAUCUUUUGAAUGUCUGGAUGAUGAGUGGAUUUUUUGAUGAGAUGAUAAUCACAGACAUACAUUUCGCUUUUUCAAUUUUGAUUGGUGCUCUCAUGCAGGUGUAGCAUGAUAGUUUCUAUUCUAGAAAUAAUUUACAUGCAAGAAAUUUUUUUGUAGCUUGAUAGUUUCUAUUUUAGCAAUAAUUUGUAUACAAGAAAAUUUUUCUCCCAUGUUCCUUAACUCUUUUUGAUCAUUAAUAGUAAUGUUUUUAAUAAAUUAUAAAUUUAGAAGAGCAAUCCAUGUUGAGUGUAACAAGAGAGAUGCUUAAACCGCAUCAAAUUGAUCUGAAAAAUUGAUAUUGCAUCUCUUGAAACAUCUUCACUAACUCAUGCAUUUGCAUUGGCAUUAGCUAUCCUGAGAUCAUGAAGUAAAGAGAACCCAUCCAGAAGAAACAUUGUCAUGAACCUCGACAGCUACGUGCGUCUCAUGGUUACUGGGAUCUUCCAUCUAAGGUGGUGUUCCUGCUCUUAGACACAUUUCUGCGGUUUGAAAGCUGGUACACAUUCCCAAUGCAUUCCCAUUCUCUUGUCUACAUGUUCCCUUGUUGUCUUGGAAAUUCUCUUUAGCUAAAGUUAAUCAAGGUCCUCCCCCUCUCCCGUGGCAGGUUUGAAUAAAUUUUGGAUAUUAAACAAGGGUUGUAAACUGGCUGGUUCUCUCCCCAAGACAGAGUCUCAAUUUUGCUUACUGUUAAGGAAUAACCUGCUCUCUUUUCGCAUGUUCCAUUUCUGAACCUACAAAAUGCAUCAAAGUUAAUUUUGGGUUUUGAAGAAGGGCAAGAAGUGGGCUCCCUAUUUUCCCAUGAUAGAGUAUCCUUUUACUUAUGGAGCCUUUGAUUUCGCAUAGGAAGUAUCUCCAAAAAGCAAUGGGCCUUUAGACUGACAUUAUUGCCGUCUCCCAGGGUUCCUUAGUAAACCCCUGAUCCCUCUAGGCCCUGCAUUGCCCCUUUGGCUGGUUCCUAGUCACUUGAGCUAGUCUAACUUGGAUUCACUGGUCCAUGUGAACUCUAUAACACGAAAUUGCCAUAAUGAGGCAGCCAGAGUUUUGGGGAGCACGAUGUUAAUUCCGGAAAGUGAAUCUUCUGUUUCAGAUCCUGGCCUUGGUAGAACUUGUCUUUGAUUGGGUUUUUGAUUGAAAAGAAGCCGAAGCAAUCUCAAUUGGAGCCAUUCAAUCUCUAAUCGAUCUUUUUUAUAGAAAUAGCACUCGAUCAAAGGGGAGCAUAAGCAAGUUCUCUCUGUGACUGAUGGG